UACGGAGGGUGCAAGCGUUAUCCGGAUUCACUGGGUUUAAAGGGUGCGUAGGCGGGCAGGUAAGUCAGUGGUGAAAUCUCCGAGCUUAACUCGGAAACUGCCAUUGAAACUAUUUGUCUUGAAUAUUGUGGAGGUAAGCGGAAUAUGUCAUGUAGCGGUGAAAUGCUUAGAUAUGACAUAGAACACCAAUUGCGAAGGCAGCUUACUACACAAUGAUUGACGCUGAGGCACGAAAGCGUGGGGAUCAAACAGG
rnacentral:rRNA from 1 species